ACAUUUUUUUUUUUUUUUUUUUUCAAGCAUUUGAACCAGUGCCCUGCAAGUGUUAACUGAAAAGGAAAAAAUUCCAGUAAGAGAUGGUUUCAUGUCCUCAUAUUUGCAUCAUUCAUCUAAAGCCAGAACAAAGAGACUCGUUUUUUGGUGUUCAAAUAAUGCUGCCUAACAGUGUUCUGCUUUGAAUUGGCCUUCUGCAGAAUGGACAUGGCUUAUCUGCUAAGCGGUCUGAACAUUUGCUGCAUGUCUGUCAGAAAAAAGAUAAUUCAUAAAACAAAAAAUGCAUCAAAUUUCUUCCAUUUGAUGUAUCUCCUGUAAAAGCUUAAAUAAAAAUAGCAUCAAAGGCGAACUACCUGAUGUCCACAAUCAAAGACCACUUCCUUUAAAUUCCAGGUGCAAAUGGAACAAAACAUUUCUUCAUUAAUUUGGCUCACAGUAAGCAGAGCUGAAUCAACAGGCUGGCUGUCUCCUUCACAAGGAGGUACAUGUGAGCUAUUGAAAGAUGAUUCUCCAAUUUCAGGUGGAGGAAGGGGAAUCCUCUCAGGAACGCUUCCUAUUUGACAACUGUCAAUUAAAAUGAAAAGGUAAAAAUAUAACAAAAAGAUGCAUCAGUUUUCAAUUGAUAAAGACUUUAAAGAAUGACCAGAAGGAAAAUAUUUUUUUUUUACCCCAAAUUUAGAUAUUUUGUUGUGCUAUACUGAGAGGGAAUUUUCAUCAGAGCAGCAAGAGCAAAUUCUAUCUCCUUUCUGGAUGUCUCCUCAUUCUUUGACAUAAUUUCCGUGAAAUUCACAAAAUGAAAGUUAUCGAAGUCUCGAGCAGGGAUGUUAUCACAAAACUCCUUCAUAUUAUCCCAGGUUUCAUCUCCAUCCCCAACUAAUAUAAUGGAUAAGGGAAGCUUGCUUGCUUGUACAAUGGCUUCAGUAGUCUUUUGGACCUGCAGGCCACCGACCUGAGAUGAGCAUUAAAUAUAUUGCAUUAAAGCGUUGGAUGAUUAUCCAGUCACAAAAAUUGAUCCACAGUUGAUAGCCAUCAUUUCCGCAGAAACCGUAGGAGAUCUGAAACCCAUUCUUGAACCUUUACUUGCAAGCUUAAGCUUUUUGGCUGCAUUAUAUAAGAAACUCUUUAACCUUAAAGUCCUGGGUUCAAAUCUAGAAACCCCAUAUUAUUAAUUAAAUUUCAACACAAGGAAAAAAUGAAUUAGUGCUUGACCACAUUUCUAGCCAAUAGGUUCCGGUUUGAAUCCUGGCCAGUGGCCAUCCCACCUCAUAUUAUUAUCAAUUAAUUCCAUCACAAAUUAAAAGUGGGUUAGUACUCGACCACAUUUCUAGCCAAUAGGUUCCGGUUUGAAUCCUGGCCAGUGGCCAUCCCACCUCAUAUUAUUAUCAAUUAAUUCCAUCACAAAUUAAAAGUGGGUUAGUACUCGACCACUCUUCAAAACCCAGUGGACUUUUGCAUUAGGGGGAUUUAGUGAUAUAAAAUCUUAGGUUUUAGACCUAAUGACUAAAGAGUCCAAACCUUUGCAUGCAUUUUCAACUUUAGCCACAAUAUUUAAUUUUAUCAAUUUGAUUCUCAAUAGCAAUCAAAUUAUUUGCUAGAUGAAAAUGCAUGAAAUUGCUAACAUGGCAUUCAGUGUGGUGCAACAUAAUAGAAAGCAACAAAGUAUAUGUUGAAGGAGUGAAAUGGAAUACUCAGAAUGUAUUGGAACCAACUAUUCCAUUCGAUUGUUUCUUUACAAGCAUCUGUAUUUGAUAUGAUUACUAAUAUAAGGCACCAAAGAUUAAUUUCAUUUAGAACAUAUGAACAUAAAACUCUUCUUUCCAUUUUUCUUAGAAAACUUUUCCAAGUUUUCCACAAGCGAACAAUCGCAAAUUUCCUUCCUUUCCCAUUGUCAAAGAACAAAAUCUAUUCUUGAGCCUAUGACUAAAAAUGUAAACUUUUACAUUGAAAAGUUAUUUAAUAUGAUUAAACUUUUAGAUUGAGUAGUUCUUCAAUAACCACUUCCAUUCCAAACUCUCUACAUAUAGGGCAACAAAGGAGCAGCAAACCACAUACAAAGAAGGAUCAUUUACUAGACAUCAAAUAAAAAAUAAAACAAGCAUACAAGAAAAUACCUCUCCAUCUGCAAUUAUCAGUAAUACAUAAUACUGACCACCACUUUGCUUGACAAUGGUCAUUGCCAUUUCAAUGAUAGGUGCAAAUGAUGUUGCCCCUGAAAGUUGCAAGUAAGGCACAAUGUCCCUGUAGCGACCUAAGACUUCCUCAAAUCCAUUACAAAUUCUCUUAUCCGGAUAGAAGGAGAACACAUCUCGAUCACGUGUUGAUGCAUCCCCAAAUCCAAAACAAGGAAUCAUGUUAUCCUCAUCAAAAGGAGCUCAAGUUUUCCCAAUAAUGGAUAUUACUUGUUCGUAGGGAUUUGAAACAUCUCCAAUGUGAUGCAAGCAUCGUUUGCCAAAUGAGCUGUGACCUGUCCACUCAUUACUUUUCGUGAAAUCAAUACCAAGAAGAAUUUUUGAGGACUCAAGGCCUGCACGUGCAAGAGCAUCUCUCACCUGAUCCAAAGUUUCGCACUCAGCAGCAAGUGUUUCAGAGCAGAAGCCGAAAUAUUCUUCAAAAUAGGAUGACUGAGGAUAUCCAUAUGGACCCCUUGAAGAAGAAUUUGAACCCUCACAUGAGUUUCGGCCCCACAGCUUGCUUCCCCAUUUUGGAAAGCUGAGCGUGAAAAAUUUUGGGGGUAUGGUCGGUGAGUAAUGGAAAUCGACAAGAUCUCAGAAUUCCUUUUUGUGAAGUAACAACACCCUUGAUCAGUUCCUCCUGCUAGAUCCUAUCAGCAUCAAUCAGCAGAACCCAAGAACCCGACUCAGUCGCCAGGAGAAGCAACAAGCUGUGAAGGAAUGAUCUCGAAAUUUAUGCUACUUGAACUAGUUCAUACCCUAAACCGGCGUAUUGUAUAUUCUUGGGUAUAAUUUUCCUUAAGCGGGUGGGCUUCAAUUGAUCCAAUGCCAGACAGACAGCAAUA
rnacentral:misc_RNA from 1 species